rnacentral:rRNA from 1 species
AUUGAACGCUGGCGGCAUGCUUUACACAUGCAAGUCGAACGGCAGCGCGGGGCAACCUGGCGGCGAGUGGCGAACGGGUGAGUAAUACAUCGGAACGUACCCAGAAGUGGGGGAUAACGUAGCGAAAGUUACGCUAAUACCGCAUACGUUCUACGGAAGAAAGUGGGGGAUCUUCGGACCUCAUGCUUUUGGAGCGGCCGAUGUCUGAUUAGCUAGUGGGUGAGGUAAAGGCUCACCAAGGCGACGAUCAGUAGCUGGUCUGAGAGGACGACCAGCCACACUGGGACUGAGACACGGCCCAGACUCCUACGGGAGGCAGCAGUGGGGAAUUUUGGACAAUGGGCGCAAGCCUGAUCCAGCAAUGCCGCGUGAGUGAAGGAGGCCUUCGGGUUGUAAAGCUCUUUUGUCAGGGAAGAAACGGUUGGGGCUAAUAUCCCCGGCUAAUGACGGUACCUGAAGAAUAAGCACCGGCUAACUACGUGCCAGCCGCCGCCGUAACAC